rnacentral:rRNA from 1 species
GAUGAACGCUGGCGGCGUGCCUAAUACAUGCGAGUCGAGCGAACGGACGAGAAGCUUGCUUCUCUGAUGUUAGCGGCGGACGGGUGAGUAACACGUGGAUAACCUACCUAUAAGACUGGGAUAGCUUCGGGAAACCGUAGCUAAUACCGGAUAAUAUUUUGAACCGCAUGGUUCAAAAGUGAAAGACGGUCUUGCUGUCACUUAUAGAUGGAUCCGCGCUGCAUUAGCUAGUUGGUAAGGUAACGGCUUACCAAGGCAACGAUGCAUAGCCGACCUGAGAGGGUGAUCGGCAACACUGAAACUGAGAAACGGUCCAGACUCCUACGGGAGGCAGCAGUAGGGAAUCUGCCGCAAUGGGCGAAAGCCUGACGAAGCAACGCGGCGUGAGUGAUGAAGGUCUUCGGAUCGUAAAACUCUGUUAUUAGGGAAGAACAUAUGUGUAAGUAACUGUGCACAUCUGGAGGGAACCUAAUCAGAAAGCCACGGCUAACUACGU